UACGUAGGGUGCAAGCGUUGCCCGGAUUUAUUGGGCGUAAAGGGCGCGUAGGCGGCUCGGCACGUCCGUUGUGAAAUCGCCCGGCUCAACUGGGCGGGGUCAGCGGAUACGGUCGAGCUUGAGCAAGCUAGGGGGCAAUGGAAUUCCCGGUGUAGUGGUGAAAUGCGUAGAUGUCAGGAGGAACACCUGUGGCGAAAGCGGCUCACUGGACCAUAACUGACGCUGAUGCACGAAAGCUAGGGGAGCAAACAGG
rnacentral:rRNA from 1 species